rnacentral:rRNA from 1 species
UACGUAGGGUGCAAGCGUUGUCCGGAAUUAUUGGGCGUAAAGAGCUCGUAGGCGGUUCGUCGCGUCGGCCGUGAAAACCUGCAGCUUAACUGUGGGCUUGCGGUCGAUACGGGCAUCACUGGAGUUCGGCAGGGGAGACUGGAAUUCCUGGUGUAGCGGUGAAAUGCGCAGAUAUCAGGAGGAACACCGGUGGCGAAGGCGGGUCUCUGGGCCGAUACUGACGCUGAGGAGCGAAAGCGUGGGGAGCGAACAGG